AACGUAGGGGGCGAGCGUUGUCCGGAAUUAUUGGGCGUAAAGCGCGUGUAGGCGGAAUCUUAAGUCAGGUGUGAAAACUCGGGGCUCAACCCCGAGCCUGCAUCUGAAACUGGGUUUCUUGAGGACGGGAGAGGAAAGUGGAAUUCCUAGUGUAGCGGUGAAAUGCGUAGAUAUUAGGAGGAACACCAGUGGCGAAGGCGACUUUCUGGACCGUAACUGACGCUGAGACGCGAAAGCGUGGGGAGCAAACAGG
rnacentral:rRNA from 1 species